rnacentral:rRNA from 1 species
UACGUAGGGGGCAAGCGUUGUCCGGAUUUAUUGGGCGUAAAGAGCGUGUAGGCGGCUGGGUAGGUCCGCUGUGAAAACUCGAGGCUUAACCUCGAGACGUCGGUGGAAACCCUCCAGCUAGAGUCCGGAAGAGGAGAGUGGAAUUCCUGGUGUAGCGGUGAAAUGCGCAGAUAUCAGGAAGAACCCCCGUGGCGAAAGCGGCUCUCUGGGACGGUACUGACGCUGAGACGCGAAAGCGUGGGGAGCGAACAGG